CAGCUCCAAUAGCGUAUACUAAUGUUGUUGCAGUUAAAAAGCUCGUAGUUGGAUUUCUGGGAUUUUCAGCCGGCCGGCUCUUAGGAGUUGUAGCUAGGUUUGCAAGUCUCAUCUUCUCACAAUUCUCGCUGGCCUUAACUGAUCGGCGUAGAGGACUGAGUCGUUUACUUUGAGAAAAUUAGAGUGUUCAAAGCAGGCUAUCGCCUUGAAUAUAUUAGCAUGGAAUAAUAAUAUAGGACUUUGGUUCUAUUUUGUUGGUUGUUCGAGGACCGAAGUAAUGAUUGAUAGGGACGGUUGGGGGCAUCAGUAUUCUGAAGCGAGAGGUGAAAUUCUUGGACCUUCGGAAGACUAACAACUGCGAAAGCAUUUGCCUAGGAUGUUCUCUUUAAUCAAGAACGAAAGUUGGGGGAUCGAAGACGAUCAGAUACCGUCGUAGUCUCAACUAUAAACUAUGCCAGCUAGGGAUUGGUGGAUGUUUAAUUACGACUCCAUCAGCACCUUAUGAGAAAUCAAAGCAUCUGGGUUCCGGGAGGAGUAUGGUCGCAAGGCUGAAACUUAAAGGAAUUGACGGGAGGGCACCACCAGGUGUGGAGCCUGUGGCUUAAUUUGACUCAACACGGGGAAAACCUACCAGGUCCGGACAUAGUAAGGAUUGACAGAUUGAUAGCUCUUUCUUGAUUCUAUGGGUGGUGGUGCAUGGCCCGUUCUUAUUUGGUGGAGUGAUUUGUCUGGGUUAAUUCCGUUAACGAACGAGACCGUAGCCUGCUAAAUAGUUUGCCCUAUCUUUGAUAGGCGUCACUUUCUUAAGAGGGACUGCUCUGUUUUUAACGAGCGGAAGU
rnacentral:rRNA from 1 species